rnacentral:rRNA from 1 species
UUAGUGGCGGACGGGUGAGUAACGCGUGGGUAACCUGCCUUACACAGGGGAUAACACUUAGAAAUAGGUGCUAAAACCGCAUAAGCGCACAGCUUCGCAUGAAGCGGUGUGAAAAACUCCGGUGGUGUAAGAUGGACCCGCGUCUGAUUAGCUUGUUGGCGGGGUAACGGCCCACCAAGGCGACGAUCAGUAGCCGGCCUGAGAGGGCGGACGGCCACAUUGGGACUGAGACACGGCCCAGACUCCUACGGAAGGCAGCAG